UUUGGAAGAAAUGUAUAAUAAAAAUUCGGCGAACCAGGUAAAAGGUUUUUGUGGAUAUUAAACACAAUAGUUUGUGAUAACAGAACUCCGAUCGCGAAAUUCGUAGAAACCUAUUUUCAUGUCGUUCGUGUUUAGGACAAACAGACGGCUCUCCCGUGAUUUCAUAUGCUCUUUAUUUAUUAUGCGCAGUGAAUGACCCUAAUGUAACACGCACAUACACACACACACACACACACACACACACACACACACACACACACACACACACACACACACACUUGU